AGUGUGUGAUUGUGAUUCAGUGAAGUGCAACAGCGAAUUCCGCCAUUUGCUUCUGGUUCAGUUAUCGAGGUAGUUGCACGUGUCUGUUUUGUGCUGCAGUGAACUAAUACUUUACAUUGAAAUAUCUGAGAUUGUUUAUGGGUCAAGUCCAUAGAGAGAGGAUUGGUUUGUCUUGUGGACUUUUACAGAAGAAAGAGUAAAGGUGAAAGGUUGUUAGCCUUACACCCAACCCCCAACCUGGAGG